GAUCAUGGCUCAGGACGAACGCUGGCGGCGUGCCUAAUACAUGCAAGUAGAACGCUGAAGGAAGGAGCUUGCUCUUUCCGGAUGAGUUGCGAACGGGUGAGUAACGCGUAGGUAACCUACCUGGUAGCGGGGGAUAACUAUUGGAAACGAUAGCUAAUACCGCAUAACAGUAGAUAUCGCAUGAUAGCUACUUGAAAGGUGCAAUUGCACCACUACCAGAUGGACCUGCGUUG
rnacentral:rRNA from 1 species